AAGGAAUCGAAGAUAUUGGCAAAUGAACCCGUCCAGUUUAAAGAUAAGCUGGGUGAAUGGUUGCCAGAAAGAGGAAAAUGGAGAAUAUGUUGGCGGGGCACCGAACAUGGUUGGGGAGCCUCGACAUUUCGCAACAAAUGCGACAGGAAAAUACCGAGUUUAGUGAUUAUUAAAGUUUGGAACGGUACUACGAAUUUGAUCUUUGGUGGCUAUUGUACCCAAACAUGGGCGGGAA